CAACCUGAUAGGGCUCCGAAACGCAAUCACUAACAAUUGGUCGAACGCAUGGAACUCAAAGGGCACCAUCCACUUCUCCGCUGGAUUUAAAAGUUUUAGUCGCGUGUGUAUUUGUGUACGUUCCUAUACAGCUCCAUGUGGUCAAAUUGCUGUGGUGUUGGGAUGAAUCCUUUUUCUAAAACCUCCUUUUCUAGCUGAUUCAAUGUCUACGCUGAUAAAUUUGUAAUGUUUGAGAGGUGGGGAGUGGUGCACUCUCGUUUUCACACCUCACAUGUUAUUUGAUCAAGCAAAAAGUUAAGGAUGCCCACCACCAUGUCUGAACGCCAAUGGACCGGAUCUCGUGCUACGGUGUGAAAACGUAAUCUGCUCAAUUCAGGAUUUGUCUCGAGUGGAAUGAUGCAUGAAGGGCUGUUUUGUAUCUGUGAGUGUCUUGGUUUUUGUUCCCUUUUCCUGUUCUUACUCCUACUUUCAGCCUCCCUCUAAAGUCCAGGCUGCACUUCCAUUUCAGGCAGGGCAGGAAAAGAUUUCCUACAAUUGAGAGGUUCAAACA